rnacentral:rRNA from 1 species
UACGGGGGGGGCAAGCGUUGUUCGGAAUUACUGGGCGUAAAGGGCGCGUAGGCGGGUGGACAAGUCUCUCGUGAAAGCCCACGGCUCAACCGUGGAAUUGCGGGAGAUACUAUUUGUCUUGCGUCCGGGAGAGGAGGGUAGAAUUCCCAGUGGAGCGGUGAAAUGCGUAGAUAUUGGGAGGAACACCGGUGGCGACGGCUGCUCUCUGGAUCGGUACUGACGCUGAGGCGCGACAGCUAGGGGAGCAGACGAG